GCUCGACCUCUCGAGCAGAGGCGACGGUGAUUUGAGGUCGCGGCGAUUGCGGCGCGAGACGACGGCGGCUAAGGCACGGGACAACUUCGUGUGGCAGAGCGCCCCCCAAUCCAGCAGAGGAGGCGGCGACCUCUGCCAUAGAGCGCCCCACUUCGGUGGCAUCCGAGGCAGAGGCGAUGAGCACGAGGCGGGGAUCGAGGUGGAGGCGGAUAUGCAGGAGGAAGAGGAGGAGGAACCGGAUAUGGAGGAGGAGGAGGCCGAGGGGGAUGGGAAGCACGGCGGCAAAGCGGAGGCCGUCCUGCAAGGUCUGCGGUAGGCGUACUAUUGUUCUUCACACAUGGGGUGCCGCCUUCCUCUGCGGCAGCUGCAGUCCAUGUUCCCCUCCCUGAGAUCUGGCUACUUCCCUCCCUGUAUGGCGGCCACCUCAUGCCUCAUGGACGAUGGCACCAGCGAACUUAGUAGUUCUGAGGGCUAGCUAUGUAGGAUGUUGUAGGCUCUACAACAAAGUGCAAUGUUCCCAUAUCAUCAGUACUUAUGUGUACUGCCUUGGCCUGAUGGGGGUGGCGUUGGUGUUCUGCUUUUUGUGCUUCAGGCAACAAGUAAUACGUUUUGCUGGAAAGCACAUAUACAAAAUAUGUUGAGUGAAUGAUAGCUCUUGAAGCUUGCUUCCUUUCGGUGGAAAACUGCGGUUUUAUGAGGUGAUUUUAAGCAACUAUUUCCAGUUGUUAAAGGAGGUAGCAGGGAUGAGAUAAUUGAUUUAUUACUUAUUAAAUCGCUACUGUGGAAGCAUGUUACUGUGCUUCGGCGUGCUUGGCCAAUUUGCUCAGAAACGGUGGCUCUGUAAGCUAAUUGUUGGUUUGCCUAGACCGUGUUGUAUAUCUGCAAAUUUUUUGGUUAUUAAAAGGAAAAAUAUAUUUUCUUUUGAUGUGUGUUCCCUGCUUGCAGUUGUAUCACGCAAUCUUUGAUUUGCUACUUUUACCAUUGCCCUUAUUUCUUCAUUUUGGUUGACGGUCCCUAAUCUCCUGCAAAAUGAAGAAAAAAUGUGACCGUGGUCACUCACCAAUCAGACACUUUUGCUGGUGGAGUAAGUUCAGUUACAGAGUUUGAUAUGUCCCUUAUAUUUAUAUACUUUUAUUGAUGAAAUUAUAUCUGCUGACACAAAGCCACUCUUUGACAGUACAUCGCGAGACUGCUAC